AUUGAACGCUGGCGGCAGGCCUAACACAUGCAAGUCGAGCGGAAACGAUCCUAGCUUGCUAGGAGGCGUCGAGCGGCGGACGGGUGAGUAAUGCAUAGGAAUCUGCCCGGUAGUGGGGGAUAACCUGGGGAAACUCAGGCUAAUACCGCAUACGCCCUACGGGGGAAAGCAGGGGAUCUUCGGACCUUGCGCUAUCGGAUGAGCCUAUGUCGGAUUAGCUUGUUGGUGAGGUAAUGGCUCACCAAGGCGACGAUCCGUAGCUGGUCUGAGAGGAUGAUCAGCCACAUCGGGACUGAGACACGGCCCGAACUCCUACGGGAGGCAGCAGUGGGGAAUAUUGGACAAUGGGCGAAAGCCUGAUCCAGCCAUGCCGCGUGUGUGAAGAAGGCUUUCGGGUUGUAAAGCACUUUCAGUGAGGAAGAAAGCCUUGGGGCU
rnacentral:rRNA from 2 species